GCGGGUGUGGCGAAAUUGGUAGACGCACCAGAUUUAGGUUCUGGCGCCGCAAGGCGUGGGGGUUCAAAUCCCUCCACCCGCA
rnacentral:tRNA from 2 species